rnacentral:rRNA from 1 species
UACGAAGGGGGCUAGCGUUGCUCGGAAUUACUGGGCGUAAAGGGCGCGUAGGCGGCCUCCUAAGUCAGACGUGAAAUCCCCCGGCUUAACCUGGGAACUGCGUCUGAUACUGGGAGGCUAGAGUGCGGGAGAGGGAUGCGGAAUUCCAGGUGUAGCGGUGAAAUGCGUAGAUAUCUGGAGGAACACCGGUGGCGAAGGCGGCGUUCUGGACUGUAACUGACACUGAGGAACGAAAGCCAGGGGAGCAAACGGG